GACUUUAACUCAAUGGCAGAGCACAUGCAUAGUAUGCAAAAGGUCUCAGGUUCAAUCCCUGGCAUCUCCA